rnacentral:rRNA from 1 species
GAUGACUUGUGGAUAGGGGUGAAAGGCCAAUCAAACUUCGUGAUAGCUGGUUCUCUCCGAAAUAUAUUUAGGUAUAGCGUUGUGUCGUAAUAUAAGGGGGUAGAGCACUGAAUGGGCUAGGGCAUACACCAAUGUACCAAACCCUAUCAAACUCCGAAUACCUUAUAUGUAAUCACAGCAGUCAGGCGGCGAGUGAUAAAAUCCGUCGUCAAGAGGGAAACAACCCAGACUACCAGCUAAGGUCCCUAAAUCUUACUUAAGUGGAAAACGAUGUGAAGUUACUUAAACAACCAGGAGGUUGGCUUAGAAGCAGCCAUCCUUUAAAGAAAGCGUAAUAGCUCACUGGUCUAGUGAUUUUGCGCGGAAAAUAUAACGGGGCUAAAGUAAGUACCGAAGCUGUAGACUUGCGCACAACUUAGAUUAUUUAAGUUUAGAAUAUGAGAAACUAAGUUAUAUGUUUAGUUAUAUUUUUACUGAUUUUUAUAGAGUAAAGAUAGAAAUAAAACUUAGUAAAAUCAGUAAAAAUAUUCUUAGACUAAAGUUAAGUAGUUUAAGUUGUGUGCAAGUGGUAGGAGAGCGUUCUAUUUGCGUCGAAGGUAUACCGGUAAGGAGUGCUGGAGCGAAUAGAAGUGAGCAUGCAGGCAUGAGUAGCGAUAAUUAAUGUGAGAAUCAUUAACGCCGUAAACCCAAGGUUUCCUACGCGAUGCUCGUCAUCGUAGGGUUAGUCGGGUCCUAAGUCGAGUCCGAAAGGGGUAGACGAUGGCAAAUUGGUUAAUAUUCCAAUACCAACAUUAGUGUGCGAUGGAAGGACGCUUAGGGCUAAGGGGGCUAGCGGAUGGAAGUGCUAGUCUAAGGUCGUAGGAGGUUAUACAGGCAAAUCCGUAUAACAAUACUCCGAGAACUGAAAGGCUUUUUGAAGUCUUCGGAUGGAUAGAAGAACCCCUGAUGCCAUCGAGCCAAGAAAAGUUUCUAAGUUUAGCUAAUGUUGCCCGUACCGUAAACCGACACAGGUGGGUGGGAUGAGUAUUCUAAGGCGCGUGGAAGAACUCUCUUUAAGGAACUCUGCAAAAUAGCACCGUAUCUUCGGUAUAAGGUGUGGUUCGCUUCGUAUUAGGAUUUACUCCGAAAGCGAAGAAACUUACAACAAAGAGUCCCUCCCGACUGUUUACCAAAAACACAGCACUCUGCUAACUCGUAAGAGGAUGUAUAGGGUGUGACGCCUGCCCGGUGCUCGAAGGUUAAUUGAUGGGGUUAGCAUUAGCGAAGCUCUUGAUCGAAGCCCGAGUAAACGGCGGCCGUAACUAUAACGGUCCUAAGGUAGCGAAAUUCCUUGUCGGUUAAAUACCGACCUGCAUGAAUGGCGUAACGAGAUGGGAGCUGUCUCAAAGAGGGAUCCAGUGAAAUUGUAGUGGAGGUGAAAAUUCCUCCUACCCGCGGCAAGACGGAAAGACCCCGUGGACCUUUACUACAGCUUGACACUGCUAUUUGGAUAAGAAUGUGCAGGAUAGGUGGGAGGCUUUGAGUAUAUGACGCCAGUUGUAUAUGAGCCAUUGUUGAGAUACCACUCUUUCUUAUUUGGGUAGCUAACCAGCUUGAGUUAUCCUCAAGUGGGACAAUGUCUGGUGGGUAGUUUGACUGGGGCGGUCGCCUCCCAAAUAAUAACGGAGGCUUACAAAGGUUGGCUCAGAACGGUUGGAAAUCGUUCGUAGAGUAUAAAGGUAUAAGCCAGCUUAACUGCAAGACAUACAAGUCAAGCAGAGACGAAAGUCGGUCUUAGUGAUCCGGUGGUUCUGUGUGGAAGGGCCAUCGCUCAAAGGAUAAAAGGUACCCCGGGGAUAACAGGCUGAUCUCCCCCAAGAGCUCACAUCGACGGGGAGGUUUGGCACCUCGAUGUCGGCUCAUCGCAUCCUGGGGCUGGAGCAGGUCCCAAGGGUAUGGCUGUUCGCCAUUUAAAGCGGUACGCGAGCUGGGUUCAGAACGUCGUGAGACAGUUCGGUCCCUAUCUGCCGUGGGCGUAAGAAGAUUGAAGAGAUUUGACCCUAGUACGAGAGGACCGGGUUGAACAAACCACUGGUGUAGCUGUUGUUCUGCCAAGAGCAUCGCAGCGUAGCUAAGUUUGGAAAGGAUAAACGCUGAAAGCAUCUAAGCGUGAAGCCAACUCUAAGAUGAAUCUUCUCUAAGCUCUCUAGAAGACUACUAGUUUGAUAGGCUGGGUGUGUAAUGGAUGAAAGUCCUUUAGCUGACCAGUACUAAUAGAGCGUUUGGCUUAUCUUU